UGGGUUAGCCUCCAGCUUGGCCACCACAUCUUCCACUGCAUCUAUCAAUUCUUGAUCCAUCCCAAGUCUUUGCUUGUAUUGGUACUUGGGAUUAAGAUAAUAUGCUAAAAUUGACAAUAUUAU